GCACUGCUGAGGAGUUCCACAAUAGGACAAAACGAUCGUUCAGUGC
rnacentral:hammerhead_ribozyme from 1 species